rnacentral:snoRNA from 1 species
GGUCAAUGAUGAAUAGUAAAAGGUCUGAGUGCACAAGAGAAUCACACUCCCAUUACCCUUUCAGCUCCCAACAGUCUCUCUGUCCCAUCACGCUAUAGCAAUGCUGUGAUUGGGGGAGAGGCUGCUGACAAUCAGGAUAAGCUCAGUGCCUGCUAUUUACAGUGUAAGGAAGCAUGGCACUGAAUGUCAUCCAACAGAACCAAUGAAGGAGUUUAGGGUUUUGGGAUGUCUUGAUUUGUGGUGUGCGUGAUCUCAAGUUUUCAAGCUGAGACC